rnacentral:rRNA from 1 species
CCUACGGGGGGCUGCAGUGGGGAAUAUUGCACAAUGGGGGAAACCCUGAUGCAGCGACGCCGCGUGAAGGAAGAAGUAUUUCGGUAUGUAAACUUCUAUCAGCAGGGAAGAAAAUGACGGUACCUGACUAAGAAGCCCCGGCUAACUACGUGUCAGCAGCCGCGGUAAUACGUAGGGGGCAAGCGUUAUCCGGAUUUACUGGGUGUAAAGGGAGCGUAGGCGGUUUAGCAAGUCAGAAGUGAAAGCCCGGGGCUCAACUCCGGGACUGCUUUUGAAACUGUUGAACUAGAGUGCAGGAGAGGUAAGUGGAAUUCCUAGUGUAGCGGUGAAAUGCGUAGAUAUUAGGAGGAACACCAGUGGCGAAGGCGGCUUACUGGACUGUAAAUGAUGCUGAGGCUCGAAAGCGUGGGGAGCAAACAGGAUUAGAUACCCCGGUAGUC